GUUCCCAGCACCCACCUCAGGAGGCUGACAACAACUGGUAACUCCACCUCCAUGGAACCUAACACUCCUGUCCUCCUCUCCCAGAGCUCCAAGUUCAAUUCCCAAGCACCUGAAUGGCAGUUCACAGCCCUCUGCAACUGAAGUCCCAGAAGAUCCAACGCUGUCUUCUUCUCUUCCCUCUGUAUCUGAAGUCCCAGAAGAUCCAACGCUGUCUUCUUCUCUUCCAACACCAGAGACUAAAACAAAACUAAACGGAACACUCCAACUUGUACUUCAACAUCAAGGCAUAGCAUGUACUUAAAACUUUAACCUGUCAUAACGGUACCACCUGCAGCAACCCGAGAACUGGGACAUGGGAUAGAGAUGACCAGGAGUUUAAUGUCAUCCUGGUCUACACAGACCUUGUCCCCCACCAAAAAAAUCAACAAAAUAGUGCUAGGAUGCAUGUCUUUAGUCCCAGCGCAUGGGGGAGAGGCAGGUGGAUCUCUCCGCAUUCAAGGGCAGCCUGGUCUACCUGGAGAACUCCAGGCCAGCCAAGGAUACACAGUGAGCUCCUGGGGGGGGAAAAAAGUAAAAAUAGAAAACCCGUGAUCAUCUUCAUAUCCAGAAAACUAGAAACAGAGUGAGAGAGGCCUCGUGAGAAAGAUUCCUAACAGAAAUCUUGAGCAGCUCGGAGCAGAAUGAAAAUGCAAGGACAUUAAAGACUCACGAGGAAGGGCUGGGAUAUCGCUCAGCACAGAGCACUUCCUUCACAGACGUCAGGCUCCAAUUCAGUCCCCAGUGCUGAAUAACUUACUAAGAACAUGAAGGCAGCAGGCCAGCGAAGGCCUUGGAGUUGAGCAGACUCCCUGCCCCACAGCCUGGCUGCUCCACUGCAGAUUUGGCCCUUAACAGUGACCACUAAAGCAAUCACUCAAGUGAGGAAAACGAAAACAACAAAAAUGAUAACAUACACAAGGCAGAAUAAAAGACAGACAACGCUCAGGGGACACGGAGGGGCAGGAAGCUGCUCGCUCCAGGAUCUGUUUAACAUUUCUCGCUGGCCGGCGGUCAAGAGCUUCAGCAGAACUAACAAAGGCAGGGAAGAUUGCCCGCUAAGACAACACCCCUAAUGCCCAAAGAUGGCUCAACAUGUGUUAAAGAGGAAGCGGGCUGCGGCUGCUCAACACCAGGGACUUUGCAGCCUGUGAGUUUAUCGGCGCUUUCUCUUCUCCAAACUGGAACCGUGCACCUCAAAAGCCACCUUAAAUUUUAAUAAAGUUCCUUUUAAA